rnacentral:lncRNA from 1 species
GGAAGAACUGAAGUUGAAGGAAGAAAAAGGUGCAGUUCUACAAGCAAAGUUAGAUUCAAUGAAGCAGCAAGAACGCAAGAGGGAAAGAGAGAUUGACAUUUCAAGACAAAGUUUGAGAAUUAUUAGCCACAGGAAGAAGGCAAUGCUAGCUCAAGGUUACGAUCAAUAUCGUCCCCAACAUCGAGCCUGGACAAAGGUCAUUCCAUGAAUUUUACACAUGUAAAACAGCAUAUAUUUUAUCUGUUAUAUGUCAUUAUAAGAAGUUCAUAUCCUUAUGAAGUCCUUUAGGCCAUUCUACAUUGCAGAAACUUGUAUUAUGAUUAC